rnacentral:antisense_RNA from 1 species
UGUGCAGUGCGAUAGAGUUUAUCAGAGUUUAUCCAUUUCCCACAGAGCUGUCACUAGAGUCGGACCUCAUGAUCUCGACAAACCCAACCUUCAUGAAAUUGUUCAAAAACUAUUUUUCAGUCAGCAUCGUUGAGACUGAGUCCUCGAAACACAGGGGAAAUAAAUUGGUAGUUUAGAAAUAGUAGCAAUGCAUCAUAUUCAAGCAGGUUAGCAAUAGAAUAGUAGGCAUGUUAAAUAAAGCAUUCAGCUAGUAUCUAUCACUUAGUGGGGUCUCCGGGUACCUUUGCUUAUUUAACUUCAUCCUUCCUUAAAUAAAAGUUUACUCCUUUUUGUAUAUACCCAGUAAUGGGAUUGCUGGGUCAAAUGGUAUUUCUAG